GGCCUUCGGGUCGUAAAACUCUGUCCUCAAGGAAGAUAAUGACGGUACUUGAGGAGGAAGCCCCGGCUAACUACGUGCCAGCAGCCGCGGUAAUACGUAGGGGGCUAGCGUUAUCCGGAUUUACUGGGCGUAAAGGGUGCGUAGGCGGUCUUUCAAGUCAGGAGUGAAAGGCUACGGCUCAACCGUAGUAAGCUCUUGAAACUGGGAGACUUGAGUGCAGGAGAGGAGAGUGGAAUUCCUAGUGUAGCGGUGAAAUGCGUAGAUAUUAGGAGGAACACCAGUUGCGAAGGC
rnacentral:rRNA from 1 species